GAUGAACGCUGGCGGCGUGCCUAAUACAUGCAAGUCGAGCGAACGGACGAGAAGCUUGCUUCUCUGAUGUUAGCGGCGGACGGGUGAGUAACACGUGGAUAACCUACCUAUAAGACUGGGAUAACUUCGGGAAACCGGAGCUAAUACCGGAUGAUAUUUUGAACCGCAUGGUUCAAAAGUGAAAGACGCUCUUGCUGUCACUUAUAGAUGGAUCCGCCCUGCAUUCGCUAGUUGGUAAGGUAACGGCUUACCAAGGCAACGAUGCAUAGCCGACCUGAGCGGGUGAUCCGACAGACUGGAUCUGAGACACGGUCCAGACUCCUACGGGAGGCAGCAGUAGGGAAUCUUCCGCGAUGGGCGAAAGCCUGACGGAGCAACGCCGCGUGAGUGAUGAAGGUCUUCGGAUCGUAAAACUCUGUUAUUAGGGAAGAACAUAUGUGUAAGUAACUGUGCACAUCUUGACGGUACCUAAUCAGAAAGCCACGGAUAACUACGUG
rnacentral:rRNA from 1 species